rnacentral:rRNA from 1 species
AGGACGAACGCUGGCGGCGUGCUUAACACAUGCAAGUCGAGUCGGAAAGGCCCUUCGGGGUACUCGAGCGGCGAACGGGUGAGUAACACGUGAGUAAUCUGCCCCUAGCUCUGGGAUAGCUCCGGGAAACCGGGAUUAAUACCGGAUACGACCACCUUAGACAUCUUUUGUGGUGGAAAGAAUUUCGGCUAGGGAUGAGCUCGCGGCCUAUCAGCUUGUUGGUGGGGUAACGGCCUACCAAGGCGACGACGGGUA